ACCACACUCUCCCGAGUGAACCACAGGCCGGCCCAAGUAUAGUACCAUUCAAAUGAAUGUUGUGAACAAAAUCAUGUUAGUUAAAUUGCCUUUAAAAUGCUUUAUGAACAAAGAUGUUACUUGUAGCAGUACUUAUAAUGGUAAAAAGUUAGCAACAUUCUUAUGUACAACAGUAAGAGAUUGGUCAAAUUCUGUCAUGUAAGCUGAGUGGAAUAUUAUCUAGAUAUUUUAAAAAGUCAAUUGUCUUUCUAAUGGUAAAUGUUUAUUUUCUACGUUAAAAGAGCAUUUUAUGCCGUAAGCCCCAAUGGUGUGGUAUUAGUAGGUGGAAUCUUUGAGAGGUGAUUAAGUUGUGAGGGUGGAGCUCUUAUGAUGGAAUUAAUACCUUUGCAAGAGACAAUAGAGAGAUUGCUUCCCUCGCUCUGCUCUUCACCAUGUGAGGACACAGCAAGAAGAUAGACAUCUGCAAACCAGGAAGAGGGUUCUCACCAGAACCCAAUCAUCGGGGCACUCUGAUCUCUUGAUUUCCUAGCUCCAGAACUUUGUGAAAUAAAUUUCUGUUGUUUAAGUCA